AGCCAUUCUAAUCUUCCAGCGAUGAAAGAAAACGAGAAGAUACAGACGUCCCUCCUUUCCCCUCCCACGUUCACGCAUGCGAUACACAUACACACACGCCUGUAUAUUUACUAUGCCAGGAUUCCUCACACAAAUGGGUAGCCAUUCGAGAGAGUGGUGGUUUAUUGUGGCUCAUGCUUCAAUGGAGAGAAGGGUGGUUUUCACGGCGAUCAAGACGCGUCCGAUGAUCCGAACUGUAAGCAUUGUAGUAAAUCUGUUGCUGGUCCGAUUCGUAUUCUUCGCCGAAGGAAUUUUCAUUGAUUUGGCUAAGAGAUUCACAAUUGGACCUGAUCCCAAACGUGGCCCUGCUCUCUUUUCGAUCGUUGCUCGAUUGAGAAGACAAAAGUCUUUUAGCUUUGGGCCCAAGAAAGACGGCAAAUGUAAUGGCUGUGAAGGAGACCUUAAGGUCGGCCUCUUGGCACUUUUUUCGCUACAUUAUUCUUGGUGGAUGAGAUUUAUUGAUGCUUAGGGUGAUCAUCGAAGGCAUGUCCUGUAUCCUCUAGUUGCUAGUAGCCUUUUACCAUGCCAUGGAGGGCUCUGGAAUCGGGGUGUUACUUUACUUAUGCUUGUUAUCUAAAUUCUUGAUGAAUUUAAUCUCCCUCUCUUUUACCUGUCGUUCUUAUAACACCUUAUAAGCUAUCUUGGACUAUGGUGCCCAGCCAGGGAAGCCUUCUUUUAGAAAGAAACAAGCAGAUCUUUUGUUCCCCCCAGAUUUUGCCGAAGACUUUUCAGUUGCAAUGCAGGUUGUCCAACGUUUCCAAGAACUAUUUUCCCAAACAAAGUACAAAGAACCUGCAGAACUUGCCGCCGAGUCCCCCCAAGGAAUCCUCCGAACACUGGACACAGUUGCCAAAUUCCAGGUUUUACAUGUUGAGUCUCCAAUCAAACACAUCUUACCUUUCAAAAUAUUUUUUCAAUCAAACACAUUUCGUUGGCUGCUAAUAUUUCAUAGCUUCAAUGUUCUUCAUCCACGUCAAGUUGUCUCCAUUUGAUUUCUAGCCAUUCAGGAUCUCUAGUGUUCCUGUCCAAGCUGGGCAGAUGCCACUUCUGUUGCAGUAUUUCGGGACACUUUUGACAAAAGGAAAGCUCAAUUCUUUUGAGUCGUUGGAAUUAUCACGCCUUGUUGUGAACCAAAAUAAAAAGAAUCUUUGGGAGAAUUGGUUGGCAGAGGAUAAGCUGGAAUGCAGAGAGGAACAACGGGAUCUCAUGAAGACUGGAUAAUGAUCUCGCAUUGAAAAUAUACAUUAAAGCCAGAGCAACUUCAAUAGUCGUUGCUUUUGCUGAACAGAGGGGAUUUGAUAAAAUUUUGAUAUAUUCAAAACAGGCUGGGUACAGUCCAGAUUAACUAUUCCUUCUACAGACAAUCCUUCGUUCAAAUCCUCGGGGAGCUGUUAACUUUGCGCUAAUGUUGUCUCAAAUGGAGGGAGGUUUUCGAGUUGAUUACAAUACCAUAACAUAUCUCUGUCUUAAUGUUUGUUGUCUCUAUUGAAUUUUGAGUUGGUAUAUUAAUGUAAUAAUAUGGACAUGUGAUUUUCCGUUGUUAUUGCUUUAAUUUUUUUAAUACUGAC